rnacentral:rRNA from 1 species
AUUAAACGCUGGCGGCAUGCCUUACACAUGCAAGUCGAACGGCAGCACGGGGGCAACCCUGGUGGCGAGUGGCGGACGGGUGAGUAAAGCAUCGGAACGUAUCCUGGAGUGGGGGAUAACGUAGCGAAAGUUACGCUAAUACCGCAUAUUCUGUGAGCAGGAAAGCAGGGGAUCGCAAGACCUUGCGCUCUGGGAGCGGCCGAUGUCGGAUUAGCUAGUUGGUGGGGUAAAGGCCUACCAAGGCAACGAUCAGUAGCGGGUCUGAGAGGAUGAUCCGCCACACUGGGACUGAGACACGGCCCAGACUCCUACGGGAGGCAGCAGUGGGGAAUUUUGGGACAAUGGGCGCAAGCCUGAUCCAGCCAUGCCGCGUGUCUGAAGAAGGCCUCGGUGUAAGAC